UGUAUUUUGUAAAUAGCGCUCUUUUCAAUAUUUUUAUUAGUUUUAAUUAGCAAUGGAUUCGUCUCAAUAUACCGAUGAGGUAAAUUUUUUCCUAAGCUUACUCGCUGAUCAACGAGUACAAAAUGAUUUAGAUGGGUCAACGAGGAAUGAAAACGUUUUCUACCGCAUCUCAGAGGAAAUGGCUUCGGCCGGUUACAUCAGAACUUCCAACCAGUGUAUAGAGAUAAGUUGAAGGAAUUGAAGUUUGAUUACCGGGCAAAUAAGGACAACAAUGGUCGGAGUGGAAGAGGUCGGAAAGACUUGCGGUGGUACGAUAAAAUGGAAACCAUCUAUGGAUGUCGGCCGUCAAGUAACGGCAGGGAAAGUGCCCUCGAUUCGGCAUCCUUUUUAUUGGAAAGCAUGAUUCAUGGUUCUUGAUUCUUUGAUGAUCUCUCCGCUGUUGGUUACGCAGAUGGUCCAGUUCUUUCCARAGAUCGUCCAGCUCUCCAGACUGCUCAUCCAUCGUCUCCUGUGCCUUUUUCAGAUUUCCUGUAACUGGUGACCUGCAGAGAGAGGAAAAUGGAGGAAAAGAGUCGAAAUGAAGGAGGAGAUAAGUCCAGAAAGGACGAGGGUAGAUGUGGAGAGCGAAGUGAUUCAACAAGAUGACAGAUUUAAGAAGCACGUUUGAAUGACUAAUAAUGACAAAUGUAACACCAGUAACACUCUCUGUUUACUGUCAUUUCUGUGUUUAAGCAAAAUUAAUCUGAGUUGUAUUACAGAAGAUGUCAAAUGUCUCGACUUGGCAUC